rnacentral:rRNA from 1 species
GACGAACGCUGGCGGCGUGCCUAAUACAUGCAAGUCGAGCGGAUUGGAGGGAGCUUGCUCCCAAAGGUCAGCGGCGGACGGGUGAGCAACACGUGGGUAACCUGCCUGUAAGACUGGGAUAACUUCGGGAAACCGGAGCUAAUACCGGAUAAUUUCUUUUCUCGCAUGAGGAGAGAUGGAAAGAUGGUUUCGGCUAUCACUUACAGAUGGACCCGCGGCGCAUUAGCUAGUUGGUGAGGUAACGGCUCACCAAGGCGACGAUGCGUAGCCGACCUGAGAGGGUGAUCGGCCACACUGGGACUGAGACACGGCCCAGACUCCUACGGGAGGCAGCAGUAGGGAAUCUUCCGCAAUGGACGAAAGUCUGACGGAGCAACGCCGCGUGAGCGAAGAAGGCCUUCGGGUCGUAAAGCUCUGUUGUUAGGGAAGAACAAGUACGAGAGUAACUGCUCGUACCUUGACGGUACCUAACCAGAAAGCCACGGCUAACUACGUGCCAGCCGCCGCAGUAACAC